rnacentral:rRNA from 1 species
UACGAAGGGUGCAAGCGUUACUCGGAAUUACUGGGCGUAAAGCGUGCGUAGGUGGUGAGUUAAGUCUGUCGUGAAAGCCCCGGGCUCAACCUGGGAAUGGCGAUGGAUACUGGCCCGCUAGAGUGCGGUAGAGGAGAGUGGAAUUCCCGGUGUAGCAGUGAAAUGCGUAGAGAUCGGGAGGAACAUCAGUUGCGAAGGCGGCUCUCUGGACCAGCACUGACACUGAGGCACGAAAGCGUGGGGAGCAAACAGG